rnacentral:rRNA from 1 species
CGAUACAGGGUGACAGCCCCGUACACAAAAAUGCACAUGCUGUGAGCUCGAUGAGUAGGGCGGGACACGUGGUAUCCUGUCUGAAUAUGGGGGGACCAUCCUCCAAGGCUAAAUACUCCUGACUGACCGAUAGUGAACCAGUACCGUGAGGGAAAGGCGAAAAGAACCCCGGCGAGGGGAGUGAAAAAGAACCUGAAACCGUGUACGUACAAGCAGUGGGAGCCCUGAUUUAUCAGGGUGACUGCGUACCUUUUGUAUAAUGGGUCAGCGACUUAUAUUCUGUAGCAAGGUUAACCGAAUAGGGGAGCCGGAGGGAAACCGAGUCUUAACUGGGCGUUAAGUUGCAGGGUAUAGACCCGAAACCCGGUGAUCUAGCCAUGGGCAGGUUGAAGGUUGGGUAACACUAACUGGAGGACCGAACCGACUAAUGUUGAAAAAUUAGCGGAUGACUUGUGGCUGGGGGUGAAAGGCCAAUCAAACCGGGAGAUAGCUGGUUCUCCCCGAAAGCUAUUUAGGUAGCGCCUCGUGAAUUCAUCUCCGGGGGUAGAGCACUGUUUCGGCAAGGGGGUCAUCCCGACUUACCAACCCGAUGCAAACUGCGAAUACCGGAGAAUGUUAUCACGGGAGACACACGGCGGGUGCUAACGUCCGUCGUGAAGAGGGAAACAACCCAGACCGCCAGCUAAGGUCCCAAAGUCAUGGUUAAGUGGGAAACGAUGUGGGAAGGCCCAGACAGCCAGGAUGUUGGCUUAGAAGCAGCCAUCAUUUAAAGAAAGCGUAAUAGCUCACUGGUCGAGUCGGCCUGCGCGGAAGAUGUAACGGGGCUAAACCAUGCACCGAAGCUGCGGCAGCGACGCUGAUGCGUUGUUGGGUAGGGGAGCGUUCUGUAAGCCUGUGAAGGUGUGCUGUGAGGCAUGCUGGAGGUAUCAGAAGUGCGAAUGCUGACAUAAGUAACGAUAAAGCGGGUGAAAAGCCCGCUCGCCGGAAGACCAAGGGUUCCUGUCCAACGUUAAUCGGGGCAGGGUGAGUCGACCCCUAAGGCGAGGCCGAAAGGCGUAGUCGAUGGGAAACAGGUUAAUAUUCCUGUACUUGGUGUUACUGCGAAGGGGGGACGGAGAAGGCUAUGUUGGCCGGGCGACGGUUGUCCCGGUUUAAGCGUGUAGGCUGGUUUUCCAGGCAAAUCCGGAGAAUCAAGGCUGAGGCGUGAUGACGAGGCACUACGGUGCUGAAGCAACAAAUGCCCUGCUUCCAGGAAAAGCCUCUAAGCAUCAGGUAACAUCAAAUCGUACCCCAAACCGACACAGGUGGUCAGGUAGAGAAUACCAAGGCGCUUGAGAGAACUCGGGUGAAGGAACUAGGCAAAAUGGUGCCGUAACUUCGGGAGAAGGCACGCUGAUGGUA